UCACAGUGAACCAGGGGCCCUGGUUCCUGUGGACCACCUCUUUCUCUGCAGCGUGCCUGUCCCUACCUCCCGUGACUCCUCAGGUUGUCUGUCCAUCUUCCCCAGGCCCGGGAGACACUUACAGGAAUCUGGAAAAUCUAGGACAGCUGGUGACCCAUUCUGGCUGGGUGAUGGAAGGCUCACUCGGUGCUGAGCCCCAGAAAAAGUGUGCCAGGCAGAGAUGCGCUUGUGCAGAAAGGGACUUAGUCACACAGAAGACAGCUUCUGAUCUCAGCCACAAGGAUGGCAGGAAGACACAAUACCCAGGCCCUCUGGACUCUUGGGCAAUCCUGCGGGAAGCCCGAGUGCCUUGUGGACCGAGCCUGGAGGAGCCAGUCAUCUGUCAGAGCACCAGAGCUCCAGUCGGGUCCAGGGAGCCGGAUAUCGAGAACAAUUAGGAUCCAGUGCGGGCCUAGCACUUGGACUGCAUUCAUUCUGCAUAUGUCAAACGCCACCUAAACGCUGUGCUCUGAGCGAGACACUGAGGAUGUGACUGAAUACAACAGACUAUCUCACCUUCUAGCGGGCACAGAUUUAAGAAUGAGGAUCUUUCUGUGCCACGGGAAGGGGUGGUUAGGAUGUCCUCAGAGAAGGCCACCAGCGGAUCCCAGUGAGGACUGGAGCUGCAUGAAGCCGUCAGAGUAGGCUUAGGGAUCCACAAAAUUUCAAGACCCAGACCACUUCAUCUGGAGGUGACUUGAACCCUGACUUUUGCAAACCCUAAACCCACAGGUUGAUCUCUUUUUAAUAAACGGU
rnacentral:lncRNA from 1 species